rnacentral:rRNA from 1 species
CAGCAGCCACGGUAAUACGGAGGGAGCUAGCGUUAUUCGGAAUUACUGGGCGUAAAGCGCACGUAGGCGGCUUUGUAAGUUAGAGGUGAAAGCCUGGAGCUCAACUCCAGAAUUGCCUUUAAGACUGCAUCGCUUGAAUCCAGGAGAGGUGAGUGGAAUUCCGAGUGUAGAGGUGAAAUUCGUAGAUAUUCGGAAGAACACCAGUGGCGAAGGCGGCUCACUGGACUGGUAUUGACGCUGAGGUGCGAAAGCGUGGGGAGCAAACAGGAUUAGAUACCCGCGUAGUCCCUGUCUCUUAUAC